CCUUCUGCCCUUUUUUGCAGGUAAGUGCUAUGUAUGUGUUUCUUAUGGUUCUUUUUGUAUACAUUAGGCAGAGUAGGACCUGCCAGAUAUGGGGUACAUUGGCGUUGUUGGCAGGCUUAUGCAAUGUAUGAUCAUAUAAUGUGACUAAAUCCCCAUGAUUUUCAUAUAUAGUACUUAGUUAUUUCUCCUCUUGUUUUGCCUAUCAUAUCUUGUCUUGUUUUAGUUUGUAUUCCCAGUCCAUGUACAGUCCUGCCCUGCC